rnacentral:rRNA from 1 species
GAGUUUGAUCAUGGCUCAGGACGAACGCUGGCGGCGUGCCUAAUACAUGCAAGUCGAGCGAGUCUCUUCGGAGGCUAGCGGCGGACGGGUGAGUAACACGUAGGCAACCUGCCUCUCAGACCGGAUAACAUAGGGAACUUAUGCUAAUACCGGAUAGGUUUUUGGAUUGCAUGAUCCGAAAGAAAGAUGGCUUUUCGCUAGUCACUGGGAGAUGGGCCUGCGGCGC